rnacentral:tRNA from 1 species
GCUCUAAUAGUUUAAUAAAAACAUUGGUCUUGUAAGCCAAAAUUAAGACCUACUUUUAGAACA